CUCGCCUACACGAAGUCGGAAUUGCUAGUAAUCGCGGAUCAGCAUGCCGCGGUGAAUACGUUCCCGGGCCUUGUACACACCGCCCGUCACACCAUGGGAGCCGGUAAUACCCGAAGUCAGUAGUCCAACCUCGUGAGGACGCUGCCGAAGGUAGGAUUGGCGACUGGGGUGAAGUCGUAACAAGGUAAC
rnacentral:rRNA from 1 species